AUUGAACGCUGGCGGCAGGCCUAACACAUGCAAGUCGCGCGAGCGGCGGACGGGUGAGUAAUGUCUGGGCAACUGCCUGUUGGCUGGGGAUAACUACUGGAAACGGUAGCUAAUACCGCAUACCAUCAGAUGUGCCCAGAUGGGAUUAGCUAGUAGCUGGGGUAACGGCGUACCUAGGAGACGAUCCCUAGCUGGUCUGGGAGGAUGACCAGAAACGCUGGAACUGGGACACGGUCCAGACUCCUGAGGGUGGCAGCAGGGGGGAAUAGUUGACAAUGGGAGCAAGCCUGAUGCAGCCAUGCCGAGUGUGUGAAGAAGGCGUUCGGGUUGUAAGGCACUGUCAGCGGGGAGGCGUUACCCGCAGAAAAAGCACCGGCUAACUCCGUGCGAGCAGCCGCGGUAAUUC
rnacentral:rRNA from 1 species